rnacentral:rRNA from 1 species
UCCGUAGGUGGCAAUCGUUGUCCGGAAUUAUUGGGCGUAAAGCGCGCGCAGGCGGUUUCUUAAGUCUGAUGUGAAAGCCCACGGCUCAACCGUGGAGGGUCAUUGGAAACUGGGAAACUUGAGUGCAGAAGAGGAGAGUGGAAUUCCACGUGUAGCGGUGAAAUGCGUAGAGAUGUGGAGGAACACCAGUGGCGAAGGCGGCUCACUGGUCCGGUUCUGACGCUGAGGUGCGAAAGCGUGGGGAGCAAACAGG